rnacentral:pre_miRNA from 7 species
CUCUUACAGGGAAGGUGCGCAGAUAUCUUGUGUUUGUGAAAGACCCCCGAAGGGAGACCCUCACUCAAGCCUCGGGAUAGCCGCAGACCCAAGAAGACACUGAGACCG